UAAACUGAAGUCAUAAAAUAAAACCCUAAACCCUGUAUCCCCACCCCAAAUGACACUCCCUCACACACUCUCUAAAAUCAUCCCCAAAUUAACUCUCCUGUGACUGUGAACAAACACAACCAUGAUGAUGGCGUUCCUUAGAUCCUCCUUGUCUAGAUCAUCAAAUAUUCAUCACGGCAUUUCAACCAUGUCUUGCAGGGCGGCGGUUUCAUUUUACUCGACAGAAACACAAAACAACAUCAUGUCUAAUAACAAGAUCACUGAGAAUCUUUACAAAAGGAUAUCACCCGUCGGCGAUCCGAACGUUUCAAUGUAUCCAUUACUUGAACAAUGGGAAAAGGAAGGCAAAUCUAUCCACUUUUCACAGCUUGUUGUCAUCGUUAAAAGCCUCCGCAAAUUCAAACGCUACACCCACGCUCUUCAGAUUUCAGAAUGGAUUUCUACAAAAUAUCCCAAACUGCAACCAGCAGGGGCUGCGGUUCAUUUGGAUUUAGUAUCAAGAGUUGAAGGGCUAGAACAAGCUGAGAAGUAUUUCGAUAGCUUGCCAGAUGAUGUAAAGACUCUCCAUGUUUAUGGUGCUCUUCUAAAUUGUUAUGCAACUACUAAAUCAGUAGAGAAAGCAGAAGCAACUGCGGAGAAGAUGAAACGUAUGGGAAUGAUGACAACACUUUCUUACAACUCCAUGCUUAACUUAUAUAAAAAGACCGGAGAUAUGGAAAAGUUAGAAAAAGUUUAUCAAGAAAUGCUAGAAAUGGGUGUUUCUUGUGACAAACCGACUUUCUACAUUCGAUUAAGUGCCUAUGCAGCUGCUUCUGACCUUGAAGGUAUGGAAAGAGGUCUUCAAAAAUUGGAAGAAAGCUUAGGUCUUAAUGUUGAUUGGAAUGCUUACAUUAUUGCAUCGACUGGGUAUGAUAAUUCAGGUUUACCUGAUAAGUCAUAUGAAAUGCUAAAAAAAUCAGAGAAUUAUAUAAGUGGAAACUCAAAAGGGGCAGCAUGGGAAAUUCUUCUUCGAAAGUACGCCUCUCUUGGUAAAAAAGAGGAUGUUUAUCGUAUAUGGGAUCUAUAUAAAACGUCAUGGAAAAAAGUAUACAACAGGGGUUAUUCUGCAAUGGUUUACGCAUUAAUCAAGUUGGAUGAUAUCGAUGGAGCAGAGAAAGUAUUGGCCGAAUGGGAAACACAAAAAUUAUCUUAUGACUUCAGAUUACCGAAUAUGCUGAUUACUGCUUACUGCACGAAGGGUCUUUUUGCCAAAGCUGAAGCAUAUGUUGACCGAGUUGUGGAUAUGGGAAAGAAACCUCCGGCAAGCACGUGGGUCUUAUUUGUUACUGGAUAUGCUAAAAAGAAUGAGAUGGAGAAGGCAGUGGAAAUGCUGAAAAAAUGUGUUUUGGCUGAUGAUAAACGCUGGUGUAGGCUGGAUCAAGAUACCUUUGAUGUGUGUGUUGAAUAUCUGAAAGGGAAGGGUGAUUUGGAGAUGGUGGAAGAGAUUGAGAAAACUUUCCAGGAUAAGCUUCGUGUUCCACAGACAUCUGAUGCAGACUCUUUAGCUGAUAAAAUUGAUGAGGAAUCUGAUGAAGUUGAAGAGAGUCGUGGCUGAUCUAGUGGAGAUGUUACAAGUUUUUAGAUUAGUAAGUCGCUCAUUGGAGCAUAAUUUAUCGAUGUCUUCUGUUUCUAUUUUUGAUUACAUUUUUAAAGUGUGAUCUGAAUGGAAACAAUGUUGUAACGCCCCGAUUUUUAAACGGUUCAAGUGAAUCAAAGGAUAAAGCCAAGUUGGAGUAAUUAGCUAGAGAUUUUGAGGUGAAGGUAGUGUAAUUUUGGUGAUAGUAAAUCCCUUUUGCGAACCAAGCUCUUGAACAAAUGUUUGAAAGUGUUAUUUUUUGUGUUGUGAAAUGAUCAAAUAUAGCUUGUAAAGAUGUAGUAUGUAAUAUGUUUUAGUUAUGAUCAUUUGACUAGUUUAUAUGAUA